rnacentral:tRNA from 1 species
GCGCGCGUAGCUCAGGGGUAGAGCGCCUCAUUGACAUUGAGGAGGUCCCUGGUUCAAAUCCAGGCGCGCGCA